rnacentral:rRNA from 1 species
UACGUAGGGGGCAAGCGUUGUCCGGAUUUAUUGGGCGUAAAGAGCGUGUAGGCGGCCACACAGGUCUGCUGUGAAAAACUCGAGGCUCAACCUCGAGCUGUCGGUGGAAACCCGUGUGGCUAGAGUCCGGAAGAGGAGAGUGGAAUUCCCGGUGUAGCGGUGAAAUGCGCAGAUAUCGGGAAGAACACCCGUGGCGAAGGCGGCUCUCUGGGACGGUACUGACGCUGAGACGCGAAAGCGUGGGGAGCGAACAGG